UUUACAGUAUAAAAAACGUGUUAAUCUCCUGGGCGUCAUUACAUUUCUUUCUCCACCAAACAUCCGUGUGUGUAGUACAUUUUAUUUCACAGUGCACGGUCCAAUUUCUAGUGUUUAUAACUUUCCAUGAUAUAUCAGUUGUGCUUAACCUCACAAGAUUGUACCGUUUCUCUGAUAAACUAACAACAAACGCCAUGUCUCGUCUGCUGAUGUUCUGUGUUUUGACUCUACUGCUUGUCUCUGUGAGUAGUGAAGGACAAAUUGGCACCUGUGCUGAGAUGUGUGGGCACAGCAGGAUCCUGAGAUCUAUCGGGAGUGGCGGGUGUCCCGUGGGGUACGAGUGCAGGUCCAAUGGGUGUGGUCAUUCCUGUCAGCCAAUAGCCAAUCGACCCAGAGGCGUAGCCAGGGCGGCGCGGGAGGUGCGGACCGCACUGGGUGACACCAUUUAGGGGGGUGACACCAAAGCAAAAAAAAAAAAAAAGCAAAAUGUACAGAAGAAAAAUGCUCUAUUGCUAGUUUCAUUAAUGAUCAAUUAAAGUUGAAUAGUCUUUUAAGUACAAUUGACAACUGUACAAGAGGGUGGGGGUGACACCAUGACGUAAGCGUGCUAACUAUAGAUAAAACAAUGCUACAUCCAACUACAUAAUUAAUAGACUUUAGAUCUGUAACAUCGUUACUAUUAAGUCUGCAAUGAUUAAAGCUUAAACACAUACCACAUGUACGUGUAUUUAAAUUAUAGGCCAAUGUAGGCCGACACAUACACACACAUACACACACACACACA